rnacentral:lncRNA from 1 species
CCCCACCACCCCGGCGACGGUCGCCCAAUCUCGUGCAAUGAUUGCGCCACAGACGAGCCCAUUUCCCCUCCCCCUCCCGCUCGGGAAGGCCUCUCGGACUCCCACACCAGCACUCAGAAAACAGGCAGGGGCCUCUUUGUGAACAUGAGAUCAGCCUACUGUGGGGAGCUCCAGGCCAGCCAGAACUACAAACAAGACCUAGAGGACAUGUAACCAUAAAGAGACUCAACACUCAGGAGGCAGAGGCAGGCAGACCUCUGUGAGUCUGAGUCCAGCCUGGUCUACAAAGCAAGUACCCUGACAGCCAGAACUACAAAGAGAAACCUUGUCUGGAAGAAGAGGAGGGGCAGAGCUGUCCUUAACAAUCCUGUCCUGGGAUGACAAAUCAAGGACAACCUGUGACACCUAGUGAAAGCCUAUGAAAAGGACAAAAGGGGAGCUGGAGAGAAGGUAGUUAAGGUCACUGACUGCUCUUGCAGGGGACUGGGUUUUGAUUCCCAGACUUCAUAUACAAACUAGAGUUUGAGAGGAUCUCUAGCCCAGUGGUGGAGGCGCACACCUUUAAUCCCAGCAGUACACCCCUAUUCCCGAGGCAGAUCUCUGUAAGUUCAAAGCCAGCCUGGUCUACAGAGAUAGUUCCAGGACAGCCUCCAAAGCCACAGAGAAAUCCUGUCUCAAAUAAAUAAUAAGUAUGCUGGAUCUGUAUAUGCUAUGGUUUAAUCUACAGUACACUUUAAAUACUUUUCUACUUUCAACUUUCAGGCAGAAGUAUAUUUUCUUGUUUUCAUUUGUUUUUUUUUUGUUUUGUUUUGUUUUGUUUGGUUUUUCGAGACAAGGUUUCUCUGUGGCUUCAGAGGCUGUCCUGGAACUAGCUCUUGUAGAUCAAGCUGGUCUCGAACUCACAGAGAUCUACCUGCCUCUGCCUCCCGAGUGCUGGGAUUAAAGGCGUGCGCCACCACUGCCCGGCCUGUUUUGUUUUUCAAAAUAGGGUUUCUCUGUGUAGCUUUGGAGCCUUUCCUGGAACUCAUUCUGUAGACCAGGCUGUCCUUGAAAUCACAUAGAUCCACCUGCCUCUUCCUCCUAGAGCUGGCUUUAAAGGAAUGCACCACCCUGCCCAUGGGCCAGAUGUUUUAUGACCUGGAGGGAAUACUUGUGUUUAUAUGGCUUAGCUGCUAGAGUAGCAAUUCUUUAGAAAUCAAUGGACACAAGGAACCUUUUAAAUUGUCUCUUGUCAUUGGUUAAUACUUCUUGCUAGCUUAUAAUCAAGAAUUCCACCACAGUUAGCAACAUUUGAAGGUUGCUGACAUAGAAACAAUAUUCCUUUUACAUACAAUUUUCAAAUGAUGCUAAAAUAGCAAUGAACCAUGCUUAAGGCCUAAGUAUAUUGGCCUUGAAGUGUGGCUGUAUUACUUUCCCAGAUAUUUUCAGAGAAUCUUACAAACUAGAUUAAACAUUUGUUAAUAGUUAACAAAAAUAAAGAAAAAAGGAGGAAGAAGCAGCAGAAGUAGUAGUAGUAGUAAUAUAUUUGGCCAG